UGCGCUGCAUAAUAGGAAGGGCCCCUCCCCCACCCAGAAGCACGCCCGGCUGCCGACCACUACGGCAGCCCUCGGCGCCUCAGUUUCCCGCUCCGAGCCUGCGAGUCGGCUCUCGGGACGUCCGGAGGGCCCGGCCGCAGGAAAAGCCUCGCCGACUCGGCUCCUCGCUCCACUCCUGCAUGGGCGAUUCGUCUGGCUCCCAACCUCGGAGCCCACCUCCCCAUUCUCUCUGUGAAGGCCCUGGAGCCUUCCCCAACGACUCCAACCUAUUUCCUCAAGGCAGCAAGACCCUGACCGCCUCACCGCGGGUCCUCGAACUCAACGAAGGCGAAGGGCGGUCCUCCGCGGCGGUUCUUCAGAUCGAUGUCGCGGAUAGCACCGUAUUUGUAGAACACGUCCUCAAUGUCCUUGGUUCGGAUGUCUGGAGGGAUGUGAGGCAGCUUACAGAGAUACCAUAAAACAUUACUAAAACUGGAUGGAGAAAUCAUGGGGAAAAUAAGGGAGGAGGAUUAAAAUGAAGGCAUCGAUAAGCUCAGGAGUCCCCAACCCCUGGGCCGAGGACCGAUACUGUUCGUGACCAGGCCGCUCAGCAGGAGAUGAACGGCAGUUUUUCCACAGACAAAAGGCAGUCUGGGACUUCCUUGGUGGUGCCGUGGUUAAGAAUCCGCCUGCCAAUGCAGGGGACAUGGGUUUGAGCCCAGGUCCGGGAAGGUCCCACAUGCUGCAGAGCAACUAAGCCCGUGCGCCACAACUACUGAGCCCACGUGCCACAACUACUGAAGUCCACGUACCUAUAGCCUGUGCUCUGCCACAGGAGAAGCCACCGCAAUGAGAAACCGGCGCACCACAACGAAGAGUAGCCCCCCGCUCGCCGCAAGUAGAGAAAGCCUGCGCACAGCACGGAAGACCCAAUGCAGCCAAUAAAUAAAUAAAUAAAUAAAUAUCUUUUUUAAAGGCAGGCUAAGGACAUGGGUGCGGGAGGGGCAAGGACCAUAGGGUCCUGGUCUAUUUCACUAUGACAAGGUCAGGGUGUAGCAAGAAAAGUCUGGAUGGCUGUUUGUCAAGGUCUCCUUGGGUGACAUUCGCUUGGAAAUCAUUACAUUUAAGGGUAUGAUCUAAUACUAUCAGUGUCCCAGAGUAGAUUGGCAUGUGUUAGUACACAAGAGUGACAAAUAAGAAGGCAAAUAAACCAAACCAUUCGUUCAUUUGUUGGGGGGUGAAGCAGAUUCAUUUUUGAUAACCGUGAUGUUCAAAUUGUACACACCAAGAAAACUUUUUGUCAGGUCUGGAAAGCAAAUCAGGCAGUUUCUUAGUAAAUAAGGAAUCAAAACAAAAUGAGGUGAAUCGCUUUGAGAGAUGUCUCGUUCAGAUCCUGGUGAAACCUGAUAAAUGAUCCCUGCCCCACAGCAGAGUGUACCUCUUCAAAGACAGGAAGACUCAUACCCUCUGGAUUUUGCAUCUCUGUUCCCUGAAUAGUGCUGGGUAAAGAUUGGCAAUUCUCUUUCUGUAGGCUAAUCUUCAUGCAAACUUUUCUCUGAACAGCGUACUAUACAAUUGAUCAGAUCUUUGCUGACCAGAUUACAGCCACUCGUUUUGCCUCCUGAGAUUACCUCCUCAUCUUAAUGAGGGCUUUAGAGUGUUUCUAAACUCCUCAGUUACACAGUCACAGACAGUUUUAUGGAUUGCUCUCACAAUUCAUUAAGUAUGGAUUUUACCAGUUUAAUUCUUAGAAGCUGCCUGUUCCAAUACUGUUGCUGUGUGUGUAAAGUGACUUCCUCAAAAAGAAAGUUUUUAAAUGCUUUCGAUUCAAUCCAGUAAGUAUAAACUAGUGCAGGCACUGUACCCUGGAAAUCAUUACUUGCGGAAAAAAGGAAAUUCAAAGAGUUAGUUACUGUAAGGGUUGAAAUCGCAAGACCCAGUUUUUCAGUGAUUUUCCUAACACUUAAGUCUACCUGUGGUGAUGGUUACACAAAUCUGUAAAUAUACCAAAAAACAUUGAACUGUACAAGUAAAGCAAGUGAAUUGUAUGGUAUGUAAAUUAUAACUCCAUAAAAAUUUUUUUAAAUGACUGGGGAAAAAAAUAUCUCCACAAUCAGCAAAAUCACUCUCCAGUACCAUUCCUCUAAAGGUGUUAUUAAGGCUUGGAGGUGUUCUAGAGUAAUUUGCACUGAAAUACGCCUUUCCUAAUCUGGACAUUCUGUUUUCAGUAUUUGUGUAUCAAUCCCUGCUGUCGUUUCUGGGGAUAACUGUUAGCUUUACUAGGUAGAGACACAAAGAUUAGGAGUACUUAAUUCAGCUGUGAAUAGCAGUUACUUCCAGAAAGAGUUCACUUGCAUAGUUCUCUAUUCCCUUGUUCCACCUGUUUAGUGAUUAAUAUUCUCUGAAAAAGGAAGAAAUAUUAAUAGUAUAUCUUUUUAUUUCAUUUAUAUUUGUUUCAUCUUCCCUAGUAAACUAGGUUGAGGACAGAUUUUUGCUGUAAUUCCCUUUAUUACCAGUACAUUUUCUGUUAAAAUGAAUAUUAUUGACUAUUUCCUGACUGCCCUUUGAAAAUAAUGGGACUUUAGAUGAGCAGAAUGUUGUUUCUAUGGAAACUGUAUCAUGUUUCUGUCAGUGGAUAGACACAAUGGGUACAAGGGUUGUUUUUCAUUUCACAGUGUAAUAAUGAUAGCCACUUUUCAAGCCCAGGUAAAUCAUCUAAUAAUACAGUCUUGGUAAUCUUAUUUUAGGACUGGCCUCCCUCAUUCUUUGAUUCUUCUUGUUUUGUUUUUGGCUAAUUCUGCCCAUCUUUACUGUCCCAUUACGGAUAACAAUAACAUGAUUUUGCCAGAAAGCAGCUCUCAAAAUGAUCUAUUACAAAGUGAUAUAUUUUUUCCAUGUCUCCCUCUUCCUAUUAAUAUUAUUACUCCCUCUCUCCCUCUUCUUGCUUAAUUUAAGUUCUUUCUCUUAAAAAUUAAAACACCAAAUCAUCAUGUUGUACAUUUCUUAAUUGGAGUAAAUGGCUGUUGAAAGAAUUAUAAUAAAAAUGUGGCAGAUAUCAUUUAUUUGCUAAAAAUGCUACCUUUUUUGGCAAUUUUAUCUUAUACUGUGAGUCCUAUAUAAGUGUUAGCUAUUAGUAGUAGUAGUAAUAAUGGUAUUAUAUGUUAAUGCGGCUGUCAAGUAU